UCCCACUUUCGUCAAAAUCUGCAAUAAACGACAUGAUUUGAAAUCCUACAUAAAUCACAAACCAAAAUCAAAACCGAACGUUGAUUUCAAUUACGUUAUUGUUUUCUCAGUAAACAAGUGUUUUGACCUUUCAAAUUACCUGUACCUGGCACAGCACAAUCACCACACCAGCACCACCUGGUAUUCACAGUGCAGAAGAUUUUACCCCAUUUUUUCUACUACGCGCAGUCUAAGACAAUACGAAGUUAGCAAACUCCAUCAAAUCGUCUGCAGAAAACACCUAACAUAUAAAAAACUCAAUCAAAAUAGGAGCAACAAUGCUGAAAGAAUUAAGAUUCUUCUCAAAGAUGAGUAAUUACAGUACACAGCAUUUUCAAGUAUGGACUAAAGACUGCAAAACAAACGAAUUUUUUUUCUUUGUAUUUUAGGAGAGUUUUGCCUAAAUGGAUGAAUCAUCAGGUGAAACAUGAAAUUAGUGUAGAAGCUGCCUAGAUAAACUGGAAACCGUUUUGUGAACAAAAUUACGCAGCCUGCAUAGGCUAUGCUAUGAUAUAGCUUCAAAAAAUUGUGUUUAUCGAUUUGUUUUUUUUUGCUUCAGGUGUUGGAACAAGUUACUUUAUGGAGGUGAAGUGUCAAUUUGGAUUGUCAAUCAUUGGUUGAGAUGGAAAAAGUGCAUGGAUUGGAUCACAAUUUUAUUUCCACACUUGUCUUGGAAUCCUGGGGUUCUCACAGUUGUAGCGGAACAUUCUCGUCUGUUCUGGCCACAAAUAAUGUAAGACAAAUCUACCCACAUCAAACAUGGAGCCUGUUCUGGCUCAUCGAUUUGUUCCCCAUGCGUCCGAAAUUUUUCCCGUUUCCAGCGAUUAUUGUCCGCGUGCGAGAAGGUUAGACGACUGUGAUACCUGAACGGCUUACUCAACUGACGAGCCAAAAAUUACAAGCCGAUGCCCAACCCGGUGAAAUCCUGGACACUUUAUUACACGUGGUCAACACAAUUUCAGACAGAACGAAGGUUCGGAAAGGCAUGGAAUUCCCACCGAAUCGAAAAUGGAGCAUCUCGAUCACCUGCUCCUGAUUGUUGAAUACUUCUCCUGAAACAUGUGAUGAAAGACUAGGUCAAGAUUGUUCUAAUUGUCUAUUUGUCUAAAUAGAUUGUCUAAGUUAGCAAUCCAUUUCACUGAUAAAUGAUAAAAAAAAAUGGAUAUCAUUUUUCAUUCUGUGUCAUUUUUUUAUUUUGUGAUCAGUGUUCUGCAUCUAUCAAUUCAAAGUUAAUACUUGAAUGGUGAGAGGUAAUGUAGUUCACAACUUUAAUAUGGGUUUAGUGCAACUGUCAUUUUUUUAAAUAUUCUAUUUCCUUCAAGUAUCUGUAUAUUGAUACAUCGUUUAGUUCAUUCAACUGGUUUUAAGUGUUGGUGUCACAUAAUUAAAUAGUGUGAGGAUUUGGUUUUUACAAUAAGAUGAGUAGACCAAGCAUAUCCACAGUUGUUCAGCUUAUGCGAUUCAACAUUUGCUUGUGGCACUUAA
rnacentral:lncRNA from 1 species